rnacentral:rRNA from 1 species
UCAACUGAUUUGAAGAGCUUGCUCAGAUAUGACGAUGGACAUUGCAAAGAGUGGCGAACGGGUGAGUAACACGUGGGAAACCUACCUCUUAGCAGGGGAUAACAUUUGGAAACAGAUGCUAAUACCGUAUAACAAUAGCAACCGCAUGGUUGCUACUUAAAAGAUGGUUCUGCUAUCACUAAGAGAUGGUCCCGCGGUGCAUUAGUUAGUUGGUGAGGUAAUGGCUCACCAAGACGAUGAUGCAUAGCCGAGUUGAGAGACUGAUCGGCCACAAUGGGACUGAGACACGGCCCAUACUCCUACGGGAGGCAGCAGUAGGGAAUCUUCCACAAUGGGCGAAAGCCUGAUGGAGCAACGCCGCGUGUGUGAUGAAGGGUUUCGGCUCGUAAAACACUGUUGUAAGAGAAGAAUGACAUUGAGAGUAACUGUUCAAUGUGUGACGGUAUCUUACCAGAAAGGAACGGCUAAAUACGUGCCAGCAGCCGCGGUAAUACGUAUGUUCCAAGCGUUAUCCGGAUUUAUUGGGCGUAAAGCGAGCGCAGACGGUUAUUUAAGUCUGAAGUGAAAGCCCUCAGCUCAA